UCCUCGCAGCUUUGCUGAAACUGCACAAAAAAGGCAACCGGGGGGGGACACACACGAGGUGAUUUUUUGAUUUUAUUUUUCUCUGGUUAAAAGGCGAAUCCUCCUCCUCCCUUCCUCCCUCUCUCUCCUUCCCUCCCUCUCCCCCCCUCUCUACUGGAAGAUCUUUUUUAUUUUCUCUUGCUGCCUCCUAUGCUGGCAACGUCCUGCGAGCGGCUAUUUUGCUUUUGCACCGAGAGAAGAGCUUCCUCCCUCGCCCUCUCUCCUGACACUUAUGGAUGAAAUCCACACUGGUGUCUAACCUGUAAUGAGUGCCAAUGUUUUGACCUUUCAAUAGAGAGCUGAUUUUGGAGAAUGACUUACUCCUGUGAUUGAAAAACUCUCUGGAAGGUUGAUGGAGCAUGAGCAUGAUAGCCCUGUUAAUUUCCAGAAGUUGUCUGUCAUGACCUGACUAGAAGGCUUAUUGCAAUGGAGGGGCGUGCUU